rnacentral:rRNA from 1 species
GAUGAACGCUAGCGGCAGGCCUAAUACAUGCAAGCCGGACGGCAAGUUGAGUAGCAAUACUUGACCUAGAGUGGCGUAAGGGUGCGUAACACGUAUGCAAUCUGCCCACAGCUGGGAGAUAGCCCUCCGAAAGGAGGAUUAAUAUCCCAUAGGAAGAUGAGAUGGCAUCAUUUUAUUUUUAAACUACGGGCUGUGGAUGAGCAUGCGGUUGAUUAGCUAGUUGGCGGGGUAAAGGCCCACCAAGGCGAUGAUCAAUAGGGGACCUGAGAGGGUGAUCCCCCACACUGGCACUGAGAUACGGGCCAGACUCCUACGGGAGGCAGCAGUAGGGAAUAUUGGACAAUGGGUGUAAGCCUGAUCCAGCCAUGCCGCGUGCAGGAAGAAGGCCUUCUGGUUGUAACUGCUUUUGCCGGGGAUAAAGAUCCAUGCGCGGAGAAUUGAAGGUACCCGGUGAAUAAGCCACGGACUAACGUACGUGACCAGCAGCCGACGG